UUUUCCCAUUUGUUAUGGAAAACCCUGGGAAAAUUAAAAAAUUACUUUCGUAAAGUAGCACGUCAAAAAAAUUUCCUUUUAGAAAAAGUGCUACACUUGAAAAUCGGAGCAUAAUGUCUAGUAGAAAAGUUGUUCACAGACAAAAAAAUACAUACAAAUAUUAAACAUAAUUUCGGUAAAACCAAUACGUUCGUAUUGGACACUCGCUGCCCUCAGAAUCUAAAAUAUCAAUUUAUUCAAUCCGAUCAUCGCGACGUGAUUACCACGUCAUCUGUUGUCGUUUUGCCGCAUAGGUGGUUUAACACGAACAAAAUGAAUAGGUAUAAUAAUACCUAUUCAUUUAUUUACUAACUAUAAUAAAUCGUAGUUAUUUGAAUGGUUUUAUUUUAAUUAAGUAUUAAUAAAAUGUAAUGUUAGGUAUUUGUAUUAUGUUAUUAUUUAUUUAUCAUCACAUAAACAUCGUUAUAAUUAUAUUAUUAUGGCACUUGGAGUUACAAAGUCGAUCGUACUUUUUGCGUUUGCAUCGAUUGGUCUUACAUAAUGUACUGCAAGUACACCGGCUAUCAAAUACCCUUGACCACUCAAAUUAGAACAUUAUUUCUCUCGUGGAGAAAUUAUUUGUACUGGCGGUACCCAGGCCCUUGGCAAGACAUUUUCCACUCUAAAGCGAACAUUUUGAUACAUUUUAAUUUCAUUUCGCCGCUUCAAUUUGAUUUAAAACAGUAUGCCGCCUUAAGGCGACGAAUGAUUUGCUUGCGUCCUAGCGACGGGCCUGGCGGUACCUCAUCAUUAGCCUGGAUAAUCGCCUCUUUGCAUAUCGUGAAUUCGUCGACUAAUGGCAGACUAAAUAUAGGCGACGUCGCGAUAGUACAUAGGUAUAAUCAUUCGAAAACAUCGAAUAAAAUCAAUAGUAGUCAAAAUUAAAUAGCG